rnacentral:rRNA from 1 species
UCGGGAAUUUUGGGCAAUGGGCGAAAGCCUGACCCAGCAACGCCGCGUGAAGGAUGAAGUAUUUCGGUAUGUAAACUUCGAAAGAAUAGGAAGAAUAAAUGACGGUACUAUUUAUAAGGUCCGGCUAACUACGUGCCAGCAGCCGCGGUAAUACGUAGGGACCAAGCGUUGUUCGGAUUUACUGGGCGUAAAGGGCGCGUAGGCGGCAAUUCAAGUCAUCUGUGAAAUCUCCGGGCUUAACUCGGAACGGUCAGAUGAUACUGCUUUGCUAGAGUGCAGAAGGGGCAAUCGGAAUUCUUGGUGUAGCGGUGAAAUGCGUAGAUAUCAAGAGGAACACCUGAGGUGAAGGCGGGUUGCUGGGCUGACACUGACGCUGAGGCGCGAAAGCCAGGGGAGCAAACGGGAUUAGAUACCCCAGUAGUCCCUGAGCGGGCUGGCAAGGCGCAU